UAGUUUUUUUAGAAAUAAAUUUAAUUUACAAAUUUUUAAUUUUUAAUUUAUUUUUUUUAAUUUAAAAAAUUAUUAAUUUGAAUAUUUUAAGGGAUAAGCUUUAAAAUAAAAUAUUAAAAAUCAUUGAAUAAUUUAUUUAAAAUGUAUGCAUAGAAUUAGCAAUCAUUUAUAAGUUUGUUAUAAAUUAUUUUAUAAUUUAUAUUAUUUAAUUUUGUUUUCAUUGAAUUUAUAAAAAUUUUUUUAUUAAUUUUAAAAUAAAAAGUAAUAAUGAUCAAAUUAGUAUAUUUAAUUAUAUUGUUAAAAUAUUUUAUGUUGAAAAGUUUAUAUAAAGAACUCGGCAAAUUUAUUUAUACUCGCCUGUUUAACAAAAACAUGUCUUUUUGAAUUAAAUUUAAAGUCUGACCUGCCCACUGAAUAAUUUUAAAUGGCCGCAGUAUUUUGACUGUGCAAAGGUAGCAUAAUCAUUAGUCUUUUAAUUGGAGGCUGGUAUGAACGGUUGGACGAAGUAUAAACUGUUUCAUAUUAAUUUAUAAUAGAAUUUUAUAUUUUAGUUAAAAAGCUAAAAUUUUAUUAAAAGACGAGAAGACCCUAUAAAUCUUUAUAUUUAAUAUAAACUAAAUUUUUUUGAUUUAUUUUAUUUUUUUUAUAUUAAUUAUUUUGUUGGGGUGAUAUUAAAAUUUAAUGAACUUUUAAUUUUUUAAAAUCAUUAAUUUAUGAAUUAUUGAUCCAUUAAUAUUGAUUAUAAGAUUAAGUUACUUUAGGGAUAACAGCGUAAUUUUUUUUGAGAGUUCAUAUCGACAAAAAAGUUUGCGACCUCGAUGUUGGAUUAAGGUAUAAUUUUGGGUGUAGCCGUUCAAAAAUUAAGUCUGUUCGACUUUUA
rnacentral:rRNA from 1 species